UACGUAGGGUGCAAGCGUUGUCCGGAAUUAUUGGGCGUAAAGAGCUCGUAGGCGGUUCGUCGCGUCGGCUGUGAAAUCCCGAGGCUCAACCUCGGGUCUGCAGUCGAUACGGGCGGACUGGAGUUCGGCAGGGGAGACUGGAAUUCCGGGUGUAGCGGUGGAAUGCGUAGAGAUCCGGAGGAAGACCGGUGGCGAAGGCGGCCUGCUGGGCAGUUACUGACACUGAGGCGCGACAGCGUGGGGAGCAAACAGG
rnacentral:rRNA from 1 species